AAUGAGAUUGGCUCAUUAGGAGAGCACUUGCCUAGCAUGCAUGAGGUCCUGGAUUCAACUUCCAUUUCUUUU
rnacentral:tRNA from 1 species